rnacentral:rRNA from 1 species
ACUCAAAGGAAUUGACGGGGGCCCGCACAAGCGGUGGAGCAUGUGGUUCAAUUCGAUGCAACGCGAAGAACCUUACCAGGGUUUGAACUGUGUUUGAAAGAUCCAGAGAUGGAUACCUCUAGCAAUAGACAAAUACAGAGGUGCUGCAUGGCUGUCGUCAGCUCGUGUCGUGAGAUGUUGGGUUAAGUCCCGCAACGAGCGCAACCCUUGCUCUUAGUUGCUCGCGAGAGCUCUCUAAGAGGACUGCUGGUGAUAAACCGGAGGAAGGCGGGGAUGACGUCAAGUCAUCAUGGCCUUUAUGCCCUGGGCUACACACGUGCUACAAUGGCUGGUACAAAGGGUUGCCAAAUCGCAAGAUGGAGCCAAUCCCAGAAAGCCAGCCUCAGUUCGGAUUGCAGUCUGCAACUCGACUGCAUGAAGUUGGAAUCGCUAGUAAUCGCGGAUCAGCAUGCCGCGGUGAAUACGUUUCCGGGCCUUGUACACACCGCCCGU